AGUGAACGCUGGCGGUAGGCCUAACACAUGCAAGUCGAACGGCAGCACAGUAAGAGCUUGCUCUUACGGGUGGCGAGUGGCGGACGGGUGAGGAAUACAUCGGAAUCUACUUUUUCGUAGGGGAUAACGUAGGGAAACUUACGCUAAUACCGCAUACGACCUACGGGUGAAAGCAGGGGAUCUUCGGACCUUGCGCGAUUGAAUGAGCCGAUGUCGGAUUAGCUAGUUGGCGGGGAAAAGGCCCACCAAGGCGACGAUCCGUAGCUGGUCGGAGAGGAUGAUGCACCACCUGGGAACGGGGGCCCGGCCCAGGCCUCCACGGGGGCGAACGGUGGGGAAUAUUAGAAAGUGGGCGCAAGCCUGCCCCCGCCAUCCCGGGUGGGUGAAGGAGGCCUUCGGGUUGUAAAGCCCUUUUUUGGGGAAAAAAAAGCAGCGGGUUAAUACCCCGCUGUCGUGGCGGUACCCAAAGAAAAAGCCCCGGCUAACGUCG
rnacentral:rRNA from 1 species